rnacentral:rRNA from 1 species
ACUCCUACGGGAGGCAGCAGUAGGGAAUCUUCCACAAUGGGCGAAAGCCUGAUGGAGCAAUGCCGCGUGAGUGAAGAAGGUUUUCGGAUCGUAAAACUCUGUUGUUGAAGAAGAACAUGCGUGAGAGUAACUGUUCACGUACUGACGGUAUUCAACCAGAAAGCCACGGCUAACUACGUGCCAGCAGCCGCGGUAAUACGUAGGUGGCAAGCGUUGUCCGGAUUUAUUGGGCGUAAAGAGAAUGUAGGCGGUUUAUUAAGUUUGAAGUGAAAGCCCUCGGCUCAACCGAGGAAGUGCUUCGAAAACUGGUAAACUUGAGUGCAGAAGAGGAAAGUGGAACUCCAUGUGUAGCGGUGGAAUGCGUAGAUAUAUGGAAGAACACCAGUGGCGAAGGCGGCUUUCUGGUCUGUAACUGACGCUGAGAUUCGAAAGCAUGGGUAGCAAACAGGAUUAGAUACCCUGGUAGCGAGUAG